GUCCACGCCGUAAACGAUGGGCACUAGGCGUCGCGGGUAUUGACCCCUGCGGUGCCGUAGCUAACGCAUUAAGUGCCCCGCCUGGGGAGUACGGCCGCAAGGCUAAAACUCAAAGGAAUUGACGGGGGCCCGCACAAGCGGUGGAGCAUGUGGUUCAAUUCGACGCAACGCGAAGAACCUUACCGGGGUUAGAAACCUACGGAACUCUGAUGAAAGUCGGAGGUGCCCGCAAGGGAGCCGUAGCCUAGGUGCUGCAUGGCUGUCGU
rnacentral:rRNA from 1 species